rnacentral:rRNA from 1 species
AAGGGCACCACAAGAACGCGUGGAGCAUGUGGCUUAAUUUGACUCAACGCGGGAAAUCUUACCGGGUCCGGACACACUGAGGAUUGACAGGUGUUUCGUAAAGACGCUCUAUGUUUUGCAUGCUGCUUUCGGGUAGUGUGUAAGCUUAGUUUGUUCUGUUACAUUUCAAAUAUGCUAGUCCUUUCAUGAUUGUGUGAUAGGUGGUGCAUGGCCGUUCUUAGUUCGUGGAGUGAUCUGUCUGCUUAAUUGCGUUUCACUAUCGGUGUGUCUGUGUUUGUGCUGUUCCUGUGACCUCGCUCGCAUUUUAUGCUUGUGAUUGCGUCCGGUUCUGGCACGCACAACAUCACCUCGAAGGCAACGAACGUGACCGCAACCUCUUGUUGCCCUCCAUGUGCAGUCUGUAUUCACUUUUCUCUUUUGGGGGAUUGUUGUUUGCAGUUACUGUCACAGGCUCAGAUUACACCUCACAAAGGUGUUUUUUGUUGUUUGUGAGGGGAAACUAGAGGGACCGCUGUUAUUUUUUAAACCAGAGGAAGGUUGCGGCAAUAACAGGUCUGUGAUGCCCUUAGAUGUUCCGGGCUGCACACGUGCUACAAUGAUUAUUGCAGUGAGCAUCUUACCCAGUUCGUGUGCACGGUUGUCUAUUACCUAUACGACUGAUUUUAUUGUGGGUUUUAGUGGUUUCAGCUUCGGCUGUGACUGCUGGAGUCUGCGGUAGUUUCGGUUUGGUGAUGCGCCGAUGCAUUUUUAACGACUAGGCUACUUCGAAAGUAAGUAGCUAAUCAAUUCGAAGUAAUGAUUUCCUUUGCACAUUUAUACAUGUCUCUGCUUUCCACCUCUGGACCUUGCGUUCAGCUGGAGGUAGCAGAUGGCAUGUGCUCCAUUAAUUCGUGGUGGGGACAGACCAUUGUUAAUUGUUGGUCUCGGUCUCAACUAGGAAUGCCUUGUACGGGUCUUUGGUUCAACAGACCACCCGGAAUAUGUCCCUGCCCUUUGUACACACCGCCCGUC